GUACACACCGCCCGUCAAGCCAUGGGAGCCGGGAGCGCUUGAAGUGCGUCGCCGCGAGGCGCGCCCUAGAGCGAGACCGGUGACUGGGGCUAAGUCGUAACAAGGUACC
rnacentral:rRNA from 1 species